CUACUCUGGCCGAGUGCAGUAUUUGCAAGAGCAGUGAAGUGCAUAGGAACAAUCCAACAUGUAAUGAAGUCAUCUUCAAGAAAGGUGUGUCACUACCUGUGUAGAACCCAGGAAGUGAAAUUUUACACCACACGGAACACUCGCGGUGACGCAUCUCGGGGGCUGGGUGUGAGAACAGUUGCGACCUUCUGCGGACAUCACCUGUCACCGCCUGCGAACGCAGACAGGUGACUGGGAAAGCGGCGGAUUUGCUAGUGCGGUAUUUCCAGUUUCACAAUGAAUUUUCUCAAGCGCUCACACAUUACACACACACACACACAAGGACACACAGCAGCUUUUAUUACCAUCCUCCGCAGAAAACAAGGAGUGAGAGCAAACCAGAUAGAGAGAGACAGCAAGCAGAGUUCCGUCAGCUGUUUCCC